GGGGAAAGAAGAUCGGCGCUCCGCGGGAAGGUUUGCUGGGACUCGGUGCCGUCGGCGGGUCGAAGCUCGGUGGUGGGCGGCUUGGAGUGACGGAGGUGCGGCGUCUUCUUUCAGUUGGCGGCGCGGCGUCUUCCUCGAUGGUGGUCCGUCUUCUUGGUCCAGUGGUCAGUGCUUUGUCUCAAUUACAGGAACCGUAAUCGCUCUUUAGUGCACAGCACAUAAAUGUGCUUUAGACAGGAGAAGACAUCCCCAGAGUUGGGCUCGAGUCAUGGUUUUUGCUGUUCCUCUCAGACAUGGUUGUGUUCUCUUCUCGAUGUUUGUAUUCCAGAAUGGAUAUCUCUUGGUUGUAUUUUAAACUUUCAAGUUGUUUUAAGUUAAUUUUAGUGUAGUUUAUUGUUUUAAAUUGAGUUUUGCUACAUUAAAUUUGUAUGCAAUCGCAAGGGAUUGUGGGUAUUUUAGUUCUGAGGGAUGAGAGCCUAAGGAAUCAAUCUUCAUGUUACAGCAAAGGAUUGUGGGUAAAACCGUGAGUGAGUGAGGUACUUCCUUUCUGGCAUGAGAGCCUUGGGAAUCAAUCUCCCUGUUGCAGCAAAGGAUUGUGGGUAAAACCGUGAGUGAGGGAGGUACAUUUUUCCUGGCAUGAGAACCUCAGGAGUCAGUCCUUCCUAAGAAAAAAGAGGGGAGGGGGGAAGAAAAACAAAAGCACGGGAACCCUAAAAUAAAAUAAAAUAAAAUAAUAUAAUAUAAUAUAAAACAAUGAAAAAAUGAAAAAAUAAAAGAAGAACAAAAGUGGAUUGCAAAAGGGAAAGGGGAAGAAAAAAGGAAAAAAAGAAGUGUCAAGAGCAAAUAGCAAAAAUCAGAAGUGAGCUUAAAAACAGAGAACAGUUCCCUAAAAGAAAGACAGAAAUGUAAAUCUGAUCAAUGUCCUAAGGGAAAAUCUGUACGUGUGUGUGUGUGUUCUUUUUUGCUAGCUUAGUCUGGUGUCACUGAUGGUCAGUUAUUGAUAAGUAUUUAUUAUUUAAAUUUUUGAUGAAGUUGUUUGUAGUGGGGUUAGCCGGCUAAUUUUAGAGUGUUAAAAAAGAUGUUAGAGGGGGAGGAUUUAGGGGGCACGGCGGUUCCCCUUCAGGUCUCUCUUAAUCCUCCGUAUAGGUGACCCAACAGGGGUUACCCCCCGGCCGGGGUAGGCCUAGGCUGAAGAUCACCUAUUUGUCCUCUGUGAAGGUGAAAAUAAAGGGGCAGGGGAGGGAAUAAGAAAGGGGGGGUGUUAGAGAGAGGGGGAGAGAUGAGGGCGAGAGAUGAGGGAGAGAGAUGAGGGAGGGAGGGAGAGAGAGAGAGAGAGAGAGAGAGAGAGAGAGAGGUGUGUGUGUGUGUGAGAGAGAGAGAGAGAGAGAGAAGGGAAGAGGGAGAGGGGGGUUUAAGGGAGAGGUGGAGAUGGUGGAAAAUAAAGAUUGGUGAGGGGGAUUUGGUGGCGGAUGAAACAUCCCAUAGCUCCCCAGCUCUCACCAUCCAUGUGAGGAGAGUGAGCAAGGGACAUAGUCCCCCGACCCGACUAGGUCUAGGCUCUGCUCUCCUCACGGUCCUCACAAGAUACAAAGAGACAUGUAUACGUGGAAGUGAGAGUUCUCAUGGCAGAGUUUUGGGUUUGGUUUGAGCUGAGUUGGUCAGUCGAUAAUUGAUUACUAUUUUAAGUUCUAAAAGUAGAUAGAGUCAAAAAGUCACAGAGGAUUGUGGUGGGAGCAGGUGGUCCGUCUGGCACCAUUCUGCUCAUGCAGGGAUUCGAGUGAUAGAAAGAGAAUAGAUCUUGCCACCGUGACUCGCCAUUGAGACUCUCCUCACCUGCUGGUUUUCAUCCUCUGAUAGGAGAGAGAGGUACAGAUCAGGAGAGAGGGAGAAAAGGAGGGGGGCAGGGUGGGGUCAGGAGUUAAUUUGUCUUGAAAAGUAUUUAUCUUUUUGUCAUUGCUGUUAGGGUUUAGAUGUUUUUUGUUUAGUUAUCUGUGGAAUGUAGUGUUAGUAUAGGUUCCAAGGUGGAGGAUUCUUUGGAAUUCACUCUCACCCUUGAACCUGGAAGAUCUUAGAUUCUAUAAAGGGGGGGAAAGGGGGGGGGGGUGAGAGGUUGUGUGCACAGAAGAAGCAUGAGCUCAGACUAUUCUCGGAAUGAUAUUGUGACAAGUCUGUCCGAAGGCAACUGGCUGGUUAGGUGUGGGAAAGACAUACAGUGAUAGCCCCUGCUUUCGUAAGUUGACUUGGCGGUUUGGGGUAGGCUGAUCAAGGGCUUGCACUGGCUGGCGCAUGUCGACAUAUCACAUGUUCCCAGUCAAGUCUCCAAGCUCAAUCUGUGUGUAAAAGUUAUGUGUUGGUAGGAAGUUUAAUGACUCAGCUCAAUUGGUAUGCUAUGCUGUCUAUCUUUUAGACUAUGUGUUUGUAGAGCAAAAUUAUGUAUAUAUUAUAUUACAGGGCUAGGGUAAGGUUAAAGGUUUUUGGCGUUAGGGUUAAAAUCACUGUCCAAAACCUUUGUAGGAACUCUUUUCCAACCUUUUGGAGUUAGCUAGACCAAAAAAAAAAAAAUGAAAAAUGAAAAAAAAAAUGUUUGGGGUGUGAAGGCUUCCUUAAGUUAAUACCUGGGUAUUAGGUUGGGGGAUAGGGUAAGGUUUAAGGUUUUGAGCGUUAGGGUUAAAAACACUGUCCAAUAUUUUUGGGGAACAUGUUUCAGACCUUGUAGAGUUAGUUAGACCAAAAAAAAUAAAAAAUAAAAAAUAAAAAAUAAAAAUUUUGGUUUGGUAGGGCAUCCUUAAGGUAAUACCCGGGUAUAAGGUUACAGGGCUAGGUAAAGGUUAAAGGUUUUUGUUGUUAGGGUUAAAAUCACUGUCCAAUAUUUUUAAGGAACAUGUUUCAGACCUUUUGGAGUCAGUUAGACCAAAAAAAAAAACGAAAAAUGAAAAAAAAAAUGUUUGGGGUGUUAAGGUUUCCUGAAGGUAAAACCCGGGUAUUAGGUUACGGGGCUAUGGUAAGAUUUAAGGUUUUUGGCUUUAGGGUUAAAAUCACUGUCCAAAACCUUUUUAGGAACAUGUUUCAAACCAUUUGGGGUUGGUUACACCAAAAAAAAAUGUAAAAUGAAAAAAAAUAUUUGGGGUGUUGUGGGAACUCAUAUAUCAUACCUAUCAUUUAGUCAUUGUUUCAGGUAAUUAACUGUUUUCUUAUUGUGUUUACAUUAUUUUGUGUGCUCAUUGCGGACAUGUACAUAUGAGUCAGAAUAGAAGGUUUAAUGCUAACAUGGGGGCAAUUGACCACUGUGUCACAAUGUAUAGAACAGAGACUUUCAGUAUAGAAGGAUUUUGGCUUAUGCUGAGAAGUGCCAAGGGUUGGUAAGUAUGGUUUUAAACUGUUAUGCCUUAACAGUCAUUUAUUUGAAGUGUGUAUUAUAAUCACAACAGUCAUUUAUUAAAAGUGUUCCUUAUAAAAGUGCUCUAUGACCCUGACAUAUGCCUCAGAUAAUGAUGUGCCUUUCAUUAAUAGAUGUGCAGGUGCUAGUCAGAGAUGUGAACAACAGGACGAGGGAGGAAGAUCACUCUGUCCUGAGAAGAUGGGGAGGUGUAAAGGGAGGGUUUGUAUGCCCAGCAGUCUGCCCAGUGGGAACUCAGUGAAAGCUUGGAAUACAUGACGCAAAUAUGAUAAAAAAGGAGACAAGCGCUGGAUGCAUCCAAGGUCAACUUCCCUGAAACCACGGUUUCCGUCAGGUAAAAAAAAUAGAACAAUACGUGCUUGUUUGUCCAUAGAGAAACACUGGGGACUGCUGGUUAUGUAAACUCUCCGCCCAAAAAGAUAAUGAGACGCCUCCUAGGGUAUAACUAUGUAGCGUUGGGGUCAAAAAGAGGGCUCAGGUUAGGUUUGGAGUUGGGCGCCAGACAGGGGAACUAAUCAUCCUAUCAUGAAUUAAUAAAAAAAAUCAAAAUACCCUGAGACUUAAUCUAAAGAAAUAUACGACUAGCUUGAUCGAUACCCCUGCUACAAAAUUUCAACAAAAGAUUUGAGAGUAAAGAAAAAAUACUUUUUAUCAAAGUUAAAUGUUCAAUAAAGCAAAACAGGGACAAACAAACCAAGCAAAACAGCAC